rnacentral:rRNA from 13 species
GACCUGCACGAAUGGCGUAACGACUUCCCCGCUGUCUCCAACAUAGACUCAGUGAAAUUGAAUUCCCCGUGAAGAUGCGGGGUUCCCGCGGUCAGACGGAAAGACCCCGUGCACCUUUACUACAGCUUCACACUGGCAUCAGGCCAAGCAUGUGCAGGAUAGGUGGUGGGCUUUGAAGCAGAGACGCUAGUCUUUGUGGAGCCUCCCUUGAGAUACCACCCUUGCUUUGCUUGAUGUCUAACCGCGGUCCGUUAUCCGGAUCCGGGACCCUGUGUGGUGGGUAGUUUGACUGGGGCGGUCGCCUCCUAAAUCGUAACGGAGGCGCGCGAAGGUUGGCUCAGAGCGGUCGGAAAUCGCUCGUUGAGUGCAAUGGCAGAAGCCAGCCUGACUGCGAGACUGACAAGUCGAGCAGAGACGAAAGUCGGCCAUAGUGAUCCGGUGGUCCCGCGUGGAAGGGCCAUCGCUCAACGGAUAAAAGGUACUCUAGGGAUAACAGGCUGAUUUUGCCCAAGAGUCCAUAUCGACGGCAAAGUUUGGCACCUCGAUGUCGGCUCAUCUCAUCCUGGGGCUGGAGCAGGUCCCAAGGGUAUGGCUGUUCGCCAUUUAAAGAGGUACGUGAGCUGGGUUUAGAACGUCGUGAGACAGUUCGGUCCCUAUCUGCCGUGGACGUUUGAGAUUUGAGAGGGGCUGCUCCUAGUACGAGAGGACCGGAGUGGACG